GUCUCUUUCGGGAAUAUCCGAUAAAGUUAAAAUGAUAAGGGAAAAAUUAUCAUCACCCCUAUGUAGAGAUGACACACAAGAAUUAUGAAAUGGUCCAAAAUUUU